UACGAAGGGGGCUAGCGUUGCUCGGAAUCACUGGGCGUAAAGGGUGCGUAGGCGGGUCUUUAAGUCAGGGGUGAAGUCCUGGAGCUCAACUCCAGAACUGCCUUUGAUACUGAGGAUCUUGAGUACGGGAGAGGUGAGUGGAACUGCGAGUGUAGAGGUGAAAUUCGUAGAUAUUCGCAAGAACACCAGUGGCGAAGGCGGCUCACUGGCCCGUUACUGACGCUGAGGCACGAAAGCGUGGGGAGCAAACAGG
rnacentral:rRNA from 1 species